GAAUCACUUUCACGUACCUUAUUCCCGUUCUUCCUUUGCACAGAAUCUCUAGAAACCAUUUGUUUCUCUUCUUCCCUUCUUCUAAGAGCUAAUUACUGGGAUUCGAUCGCUGCUUCGCUUUUUUGUAUCUUUGCUCGUGCGGUUAUCAAUCUCAAGAACCCAAAUCAGUCCAGAAUUUCUCUGGAGAACUCUCGUAGCUAUGCCCACAAACGAUGGCUUCUCUGGUGUAUCCAAUUGCUAUGUGUUUAAGAGCCGUUUACAAGAGUAUGCACAAAAAAAGGGACUGCCAACCCCUGUGUAUGAGACAAUCAAGGAAGGCCCUUCACACGAGCCUUCCUUCAGGUCAACAGUGAUUGUCAAAGAUGUUAGAUAUGAUUCUUUGCCUGGUUUUUUCAAUAGGAAGGCUGCAGAGCAGUCAGCUGCAGAGGUUGCUCUAUUGGAGUUGGCUAAAUCUGAUGAAGUCAAUGAAUGCAUUUCCCAGCCUGUUCAUGAAACAGGACUUUGCAAAAACUUGCUUCAGGAAUAUGCACAGAAGAUGAAUUAUGCGAUUCCAGUGUACCAGUGUCAAAAGAAUGAGACACCUGGUCGAACUACACAUUUUAAAUGUACUGUUGAGAUUGGGGGGAUCCAGUAUAUUGGAGCUUCAGCCAAGACAAAAAAAGAAGCAGAGAUCAAAGCUGCUAGGACUGCUUUGUUAGCUAUACAGUCAAGUGCUUCUGACUCGUCUCAUAAAUCAAUUGGCAACCAUCAGUUAACAGUAAUUCCAUUCAGAAAGAGGGGAGCAGAAACGGCAAGCGUCCUAGAGGAGGUUGCAAAUGUUCCCAAGGCGAAGAAGAGUCGAUUCAAGAAGAAAAUGUUGAAAAAGAAAUUCUCUGGCGACAAAGUAGAUCAUAAUCAAGGUGAAAGUGUAGGUAAUUUGGAUGUUACCAUGGAUGGCCAAUCAGGAUCAGGUUCGGGAUCAGGGUCUGAGUCAGAUAAGACUGAUGCAUCUGGAGUCCAAGGGACAGCUCAUUGUCUGUUACCAACAAUUGAUGUGAGGAAUUUGGAAGAUGGGAGAUUAGUUUCUGACUCAAGUGGGGGG
rnacentral:misc_RNA from 1 species